rnacentral:snRNA from 1 species
AUACUUCCCUGGCAGGGUGACGCCGUGCUCAGGACGGUGGCUGUCCCCGGGCGAGGCUUGUCCGCUGCCCUCGGGGUGUGCUGACCCCUGCGAUCUCCCCAGGUGUGGGAAUUGACGGGGGCGGGGUCCGCAUCCAGGCUCCCCCCUGAGAAAGGAAAACA